GUGUUGGGCUUUAGUUUGUGAUUUAAUUUGCUUGAAUUUGUCUUCUAGACUCAUCCCUUCUUCCGACACGUUAAUUGGGAGGACCUUCUCGCGCGUAAAGUAGAACCACCAUUCAAGCCUUUCUUGCAAUCUGCUGACGAUGUGAGCCAGUUUGAUUCAAAAUUCACCAGCCAGACUCCUGUUGACAGUCCUGAUGACUCCACGCUAAGCGAAAGUGCAAAUCAGGUCUUUUUGGGUUUUACCUAUGUAGCUCCAUCCGUGUUGGAAAAUCUAAAGGAGAAGUUCUCAUUUGAGCCAAAAAUUCGUUCACCUCGCCGGUUUUUGGGAAGCCCUCGAACGCCUGUCAGCCCGGUUAAGUUCUCAGGAGAUUGUUGGCCACGAGGUCCCACUUUACCCAGAUCCUCCACCCUUCAGUCCCCCACAGAAGUGUCCACCAUGGAUCAGAUGGAGGUCCAGGCUAGUUCCGAGGCCACCGCCCCUCUUCCCAUCAGGCAACCCGCUGGCUCCAGCGUGGGCCAGUUUAAGCAGCAGGCCUACCCUGUGAUCUCCAAAAGGCCAGAGCAUCUACGAAUGAACCUAUGACCAUUAGUCCAACUUAGAGUUUUCCUUUGCUUACUCUAUUUCUUUUAUAUGGACACUUGGGGAGAAGAAAGGUCCCCACCGUCACUACCAUCUGCUAUAUACUGUUCUUCACAUCUGAUGAGCAUGUGUUUUUCACUGAGUUUGAGAAACUGCUGCAGUUCCUCACAUCCCAAAACCUCAGAGAUGAUUCCUGACAUUACACAUCAAAUGGAUUAUCAGGAUUGGGCCUUUUUUGGAUUAUCAACUUUUUUUUACAUGAUUUUACCAUAAAAGGAACUUGAAACAAACAAAAAAGAAAAGGAGACAAAUGUGCAGAUGAGUAGAUGCUCCCUGCGGGAUGAUCAAGUGAUGUUGAGGAAUUGCUUCCAGUGGGAUGCUUUGAGUUUUUACAGUAUUUCUGAGGGAAGCUGAAUCGCUUUCCAGCUGUUAAACACAAUUGUACAAAUCAUUGCGGAUUGCAGAAUGAGAUGCAUUUGUGGGAGUUUCGCCCAGCGGAGGUUUGCAACCUGACUUAAGUCUUGCACUUUUUUUUUUUUUAAAUGAGUGGAUCCCACAGUGAUGUAUAGAUGAUGGAUAAAUACACAAGCCUCAAUAAAAAACAAAUAUGUUGA